UCCAUAGCUUAGACCAAGGUGAAAAUGGAUGUUCGAACUCUAAGAAAUAAAAAUCAGUCUGAUCUCGGAAGCUAAACAGGAUUGGGCCUGGUUAGUACUUGGAUGAGAGACCACCUAGGAAGACCAGGUGUUAUAGGCA
rfam:Pteropus alecto contig81001, whole genome shotgun sequence.